UAAAAAUAAAAUGCUGAUUUUAAAACGACCUCGUUCACACUAGCAUUUUUCUUUAAUCGAUAUAAUUUGAAUCGAUCUAAAUAAAACCAGUAAGCGUUCACAUUAACUUUAAUCAUAACGAUCGCUAUCGGUCUAAUCUGAACCAGUGUGUUCACAUUACAUUUAAAAAGUGCAAUUGAUCUGACCUUAUUACCCGUAAAACUGUAAACAUUGUGUAUAAAUAGAACUAAAUGGUAAAAUUACAAAAAUACUGAACUCCGAAUUUUUCCGAAAAAAUUCAAAACGCAAAGUCCCUAAUCAAAUGGCAAAAUCAAAAGCUCAAACAAUCAAACGAAUGGAUAACAACUGUCAUAUUCCUGACUUGGUACAGGCAUUUUCUUAGAUAGAACUAAUUUAUCAAAUUCAUGUGUUGAAACACUGAUACACACACUUGA
rnacentral:lncRNA from 1 species